rnacentral:lncRNA from 1 species
UGGCUUGAACAAUGAUUAGAACUGCUUUACAAAAUCUGUUCAUUUAUAGCAUGUCUAAUUGGUCCUUUAAAUCUCUUCUUAGGAAGUCCUGAAAUUUGAGGUAAAGGGAAUGUUUUCAUUUACUGUGGACAAAGCCUGGUUCUAUGAUAAGAGGAGUCAUUUAGAGAUGUUUGCAGAAGGUGAUAAAGAUACAAUGAGAGAAGAUGGAAGAAUGAAGGGAUAUGAAAGGCCUCACUACCUGAUCUAGCAAACGGAACCUGAGAAUCUGCUUCAACUGGACUAGGGAGUAUUUCAACUUUAACUUUCUAAGAAUAAGGAAGCUUGGGUGACCUUUCUGGAGCUCCAUCUACAAUGUGAAUUGAUCACAACAGAACAUUUGUUUCAACUUUGAUAAGGUUAACUUUCAUACCGUAGCUAAUGAAAACUGUAGAUCCUGUAUCUACAAAGGGCCCAUGAGUUAAAAAAGAAGGCAAGUUUUACAUUGUACCAUUUGGAAAUGACCCUGUAUUUACAUGAGCUAAAUAAUUAAUUGUUGAUUUCACAAACACAUAUUCAGCACCUACCGUGUGCCUUAGAACCGUAGAUUCUGGAGAAUAUAUUGAUGACUAAAAUGGAGUCCCUGUCAUGAAGGGGCCUCUUA